UCCUACGGGAGGCAGCAGUAGGGAAUCUUGCACAAUGGGGGAAACCCUGAUGCAGCGAUGCCGCGUGAGUGAAGAAGGCCUUUGGGUUGUAAAGCUCUUUCGUCGGGGAAGAAAAUGACUGUACCCGAAUAAGAAGGUCCGGCUAACUUCGUGCCAGCAGCCGCGGUAAU
rnacentral:rRNA from 1 species